AAAAAAUUCGCACAAUCUUUAAAAUCGGGAUCCUGUCGAAAUUGCCAUCCUCAUAGUCUACCGAACACCGACCACCAAAAAACUCAAUAAUUAUUUUUAACAAGGUUAGUUUUUUUGUGGGAUUGAAAGAUUGAUUUUUUAUUUUGCAUGUUGUGUGAAUUUGUGCAUUAAAUUUUUAUUUAUGAUAUUUAUUCUUCACUUUUAGGUAAACUAUUGGGUUUAGGAUGAAUUUUGUCCAAAAAAAGCUUUAUGUCGUUGGAAACAGGCGAUGCACUAUCGGCUUCUACCGACUGUGCUUAAAGUCCGCCAUUUUUCCUUCCUUUUCUCAUUUGGUUUUUCUUUUGUUUAAUUUAUUUUGUUUAUAUUAUAAUGUUUUUGGAAAUAGUUUUAAAAUUUCUUAAUCGUUUUGUUCAUAUUAUAGAAAAGUUUUUUUGAAUUAAAAUUCUUUUCUCUUUAUGAUAUAUCUUUAUUUUUUUCAAUUUAAAUUAAAUAGUAAUUAUAUUAAUUAUUUAAUGUUCGUAACUUUCUUGCCUCAUCAUCCUGUAACCUAAACCCCUCGAAGAUUAAUUCUUUAAAAAAAAGGUUGAACCCCAACCUUGUGGGCUCUCACCGUCUCGACCUAGAGUUUUAUAAGGGAGGUAAAUCGCAAGAUGUGCCCCAAAAGGUCAGGGAACAAGAGCUGUAUGUACACUGCGCCUAUAAGAAGUCCAAUUCUAUGUCUCAGGAAUCAAACCUCCAUUCUGCGACUGCCAGCAAUGUAUGAGAUAACCUUAUUCAUAUCCUUUGCACCACUGGAUUAUGUCUCGAAGGGCAAGAUUAAUUCUUUAAAGUGCAGGUUAUUGGUGGUUUUUCUAGCCUAUGACGUGUUCUUUAUGAUUUUCUGUAUAACAAUGGCCUGUAUUUUUGCAUUAGACUGUUGCGUUCCUAUCUUAUCUACAGUUGCCUGCCAAAUAUUUGAUUAGCUGAAUACUUAGUGUGAAGUAAAACUAAGCUUAUCAAAUUCAGUAAUCUAGAUUGCUCAUCAAAUGAGAAAGAUUAAUUAAGACCAGCAACUUUUGUUUUGUAGUUCUUGUCGAUUUCCACUUCUAAUCUUGUUUGUGAAGUUGAUAACGGUUCUAAAUUUUGUAAUUGGGUUCUUCCAUGCCAUGCAGUAAUUCUGUUUGUUUGAAGCCAAAAUCAUAUGUUAAGUUUUAACUCCAUUUAUUCUCGAAGAGAGAGGAGCAUUGAUUAUUAAGGCAUCUUCUGAUGUUAGGAUCCACUGAUCCAGAAUCUCCUGCCCCUUCCUCGAAAAUUAAUGAGGAAAAUGUGCCCACUGAGAACCUUCCUCUUGAAUCCAAGUUACAGCUGAAGCUCGAGCAGACUGAGGAUGUAGGCGGCAAAUAAGAUUAGGCUAAGGAGAAAGAGGCUUGUUAGGAACCUUGUAUCAUAAGCAUCUCAACAGUUUCAAAUUCGGGUUCUGCAUAAAUACAUAUACAUUAACAAUAAAGCUUCUUGUACAGUCCUCUCACAAUGUCAGGAGACCCACAUGAAUUGUAUAAUUGUGGACCGCCCUCAUUAUGAGAGGGGUGUAAGGGUGUACGGUAAGCACUACUGAUACAUUAAUGCUGAAAUCACAAAUGGACUAGUUGCAGAAAAUUCUGUCAAUCUCAAUAACACAGAGCAUGUCGCAGAGAGGCCAGACCUGUCAUGCCACAUUUCUUUGUGGACCAUUUUCCCAAGGUGUGGGAGAGGUAAAACAAGCCAAAAAUAUUAUUUUAUACAUCAGGGUUUUGUUUCAGGCAUAUAAGUGAGCCAUAAAUUUCAAUUAUCUGCAAAUAUCAUAAUUAACAGUGAAGUGCAAUACACCAUUCAUGGGGAAAGCAAAAUAUUAAUACAAGAGUCCUUGAUGAAACUGUGCGUAGAAUUUGCAUUCCUACUGUACACUUAUAGUCGGCAGAAUCCAAGAAAACGAGCUCACCAGCAUGUCUCAAUCAUCUCCUUUUUCUGCUAAAUAAUUCGACAAGGUGGGCCCCUAUGGUUGCGAGCUAGAGCUGCCAUAGCUUGUGGCUAGAUCAAAGUGAGAGCCCCAACAGAGGCUACGUUCAUACUGAAGUCUUACACUUGAGAAUGUUUAGUUUGCAGAGAGAGCAUGUUGCACUAAUUUGCAGCCACUUGCUAAUGCAUUUAUGGUGAGAAUGUUGUUUGCAUUGAUAUAUAGAGUAGAGUCAAGGAAGUUUACAGAUAUUUCAUUUCACGAUUCCAGCAAAAUCAGAGAAUUAAAAUUAUUGAAAAUCAUACUAGAAAUCCA
rnacentral:lncRNA from 1 species